rnacentral:rRNA from 1 species
UACGUAGGGGGCAAGCGUUGUUCGGAAUUAUUGGGCGUAAAGGGCGCGUAGGCGGUGCGGUAAGUCACCUGUGAAACCUCUAGGCUUAACCUAGAGCCUGCAGGCGAAACUGCCGUGCUUGAGGGUGGGAGAGGUGCGUGGAAUUCCGUGGUAGCGGUGAAAUGCGUAGAUAUCGGGAGGAACACCUGUGGCGAAAGCGGCGCACUGGACCACAUCUGACGCUGAGGCGCGAAAGCUAGGGGAGCAAACAGG